GACGAACGCUGGCGGCGUGCCUAAUACAUGCAAGUUGAGCGCUGAAGGUUGGUACUUGUACCAACUGGAUGAGCAGCGAACGGGUGAGUAACGCGUGGGGAAUCUGCCUUUGAGCGGGGGACAACAUUUGGAAACGAAUGCUAAUACCGCAUAAAAACUUUAAACACAAGUUUUAAGUUUGAAAGAUGCAAUUGCAUCACUCAAAGAUGAUCCCGCGUUGUAUUAGCUAGUUGGUGAGGUAAAGGCUCACCAAGGCGAUGAUACAUAGCCGACCUGAGAGGGUGGUCGGCCACACUGGGACCGAGACACGGCCCAAACGCCCUCGGGAGGCAGCAGUAGGGAAUCUUCGGCAAUGGACGAAAGUCUGACCGAGCAACGCCGCGUGAGUGAAGAAGGUUGUCGGAUCGUAAAACUCUGUUGGUAGAGAAGAACGUUGGUGAGAGUGGAAAGCUCAUCAAGUGACGGUAACUACCCAGAAAGGGACGGCUAACUACGUG
rnacentral:rRNA from 1 species